rnacentral:misc_RNA from 1 species
UCUCCGUAGGUGAACCUGCGGAGGGAUCAUUACAAGUGACCCCGGUCUUACCACCGGGAUGUUCAUAACCCUUUGUUGUCCGACUCUGUUGCCUCCGGGGCGACCCUGCCUUCGGGCGGGGGCUCCGGGUGGACACUUCAAACUCUUGCGUAACUUUGCUGUCUGAGUAAACUUAAUUAAUAAAUUAAAACUUUUAACAACGGAUCUCUUGGUUCUG